CCUACGGGAGGCAGCAGUGGGGAAUUUUGGACAAUGGGGGCAACCCUGAUCCAGCCAUUCCGCGUGAGUGAAGAAGGCCUUCGGGUUGUAAAGCUCUUUCAGCGGGAACGAAACGGUACGCUCUAACAUAGCGUGCUAAUGACGGUACCCGCAGAAGAAGCACCGGCUAACUACGUGCCAGCAGCCGCGGUAAUACGUAGGGUGCGAGCGUUAAUCGGAAUUACUGGGCGUAAAGCGUGCGCAGGCGGAUUGUUAAGCAAGAUGUGAAAUCCCCGGGCUUAACCUGGGAAUGGCAUUUUGAACUGGCAAUCUAGAGUGUGUCAGAGGGGGGUAGAAUUCCACGUGUAGCAGUGAAAUGCGUAGAGAUGUGGAGGAAUACCGAUGGCGAAGGCAGCCCCCUGGGAUAACACUGACGCUCAUGUACGAAAGCGNNGGUAGCAAACAGGAUUAGAUACCCUGGUAGUCCACGCCCUAAACGAUGUCAACUGGUUGUUGGGAGAGUGAAAUCUCUUAGUAACGAAGCUAACGCGUGAAGUUGACCGCCUGGGGAGUACGGUCGCAAGAUUAAAACUCAAAGGAAUUGACGGGGACCCGCACAAGCGGUGGAUGAUGUGGAUUAAUUCGAU
rnacentral:rRNA from 1 species